CGGAAGGUCCGGCGUUAUCCGGAUUAUUGGGUUAAGGGAGCGUAGGCCGCCAGAUAAGCGUGUUGUGAAAUGUACCGGCUCAACCGGUGAAUUGCAGCGCGAACUGUUUGGCUUGAGUGCACGGUAAGCAGGCGGAAUUCAUGGUGUAGCGGUGAAAUGCUUAGAUAUCAUGAAGAACUCCGAUUGCGAAGGCAGCUUGCUGCAGUGCGACUGACGCUGAUGCUCGAAGGUGCGGGUAUCAAACAGGAUU
rnacentral:rRNA from 1 species